AACUUGUAUCUCAAGGUGGGUGGCGCGU
rnacentral:sRNA from 1 species